rnacentral:tRNA from 1 species
AUCUUUCUAGUAUUAAUAUCAGUACAUGUGACUUCCAAUCACUCAGCCUUGGUUAAAAUCCAAGGAAAGAUA